rnacentral:rRNA from 1 species
GAAUAUUGGACAAUGGGCGCAAGCCUGAUCCAGCAAUGCCGCGUGGGUGAAGAAGGCCUUCGGGUUGUAAAGCCCUUUUGUACGGGAAGAAAUCCCAUUCGUUAAUACCGGGUGGGGAUGACGGUACCGUAAGAAUAAGCACCGGCUAACUUCGUGCCAGCAGCCGCGGUAAUACGAAGGGUGCAAGCGUUAAUCGGAAUUACUGGGCGUAAAGCGUGCGUAGGUGGUUUGUUAAGUCUGAUGUGAAAGCCCUGGGCUCAACCUGGGAAUGGCAUUGGAUACUGGCUUACUAGAGUGCGGUAGAGGGUAGCGGAAUUUCCGGUGUAGCGGUGAAAUGCGUAGAGAUCGGAAGGAACAUCCGUGGCGAAGGCGGCUACCUGGACCAGCACUGACACUGAGGCACGAAAGCGUGGGGAGCAAACAGG